rnacentral:rRNA from 1 species
CCGCCCGCGCGCCCGGACCUCUCACCCUUGCCUACCCUACCUUCGUUGCUUUGGCGAGGCGCCCGUCGGCCAGCGGCUCCGGCUGCUGCGUCCUCGCCAGAGGCACCAAAACGCUCUUGUUCGUGAAUGUCUGAGUACGAUAUACAAUCGUGAAAACUUUCAACAACGGAUCUCUUGGCUCUGGCAUCGAUGAAGAACGCAGCGAAAUGCGAUAAGUAAUGUGAAUUGCAGAAUUCAGUGAAUCAUCGAAUCUUUGAACGCACAUUGCGCCCCUUGGUAUUCCGAGGGGCAUGCCUGUCCGAGCGUCAUUAACAACCACUCAAGCCUGCGCUUGGUCUUGGGGUACCCGGCUCCCGGGGCUCUUAAAAUCAGUGGCGGCGCCGGCGGGCCCUGCGCGUAGUAACUCCUCUCGCGUCUGGGCUCCGUCGGCCGCUAGCUAGCAACCCCCCCCUUUCUCGGUGACCUCGGAUCA